GCUUGCUUCAGCAACUUAUAGACUAAAAUUGGAACAAUAGAUUAGCAUGAUCUCUAUGCAAGGAUGAUAUGCAAAUUUGUGAAAUGUUCCAUAUUUUU
rnacentral:snRNA from 1 species